AUUGAACGCUGGCGGCAGGCCUAACACAUGCAAGUCGAACGGUAACAGGAAGAAGCUUGCUUCUAUGCUGACGAGUGGCGGACGGGUGAGUAAUGUCUGGGAAACUGCCUGAUGGAGGGGGAUAACUACUGGAAACGGUAGCUAAUACCGCAUAACGUCGCAAGACCAAAGAGGGGGACCUUCGGGCCUCUUGCCAUCGGAUGUGCCCAGAUGGGAUUAGCUAGUAGGUGGGGUAACGGCUCACCUAGGCGACGAUCCCUAGCUGGUCUGAGAGGAUGACCAGCCACACUGGAACUGAGACACGGUCCAGACUCCUACGGGAGGCAGCAGUGGGGAAUAUUGCACAAUGGGCGCAAGCCUGAUGCAGCCAUGCCGCGUGUAUGAAGAAGGCCUUCGGGUUGUAAAGUACUUUCAGCGGGGAGGAAGGGAGUAAAGUUAAUACCUUUGCUCAUUGACGUUACCCGCAGAAGAAGCACCGGCUAACUCCGUG
rnacentral:rRNA from 1 species